GUGGGUGAGGGAGCCCCCGCUGGAGCCCGGCGCGUCGCCCCAGCCCCUCCCUCGACGUCAGGCCGCUGAGGCAGCGAGAGCGAGCAAGAGGGAGGGAGAGCAAGGGCGGGAAGAAGGGGCUGGAGCGAGCGAGCGAGCGAGUGCCCUCGCGUGUGGCGUGAGGCGAAGCUGCCUGACCGCCCCCUUCGCCGUCCCUUCUCCGCCUCCCGUUCCCCAGCCCGUCCCGACCACGGAGCAGCACUAUGUCGGCGCCGGCAGCCAAAGUCAUUAAAACGGAGCCCGACUUGGACCUGUACGGGGCCGCGGAGACCUCAGAAAAAGAACAGCAGGAAGUAAUUGAACAUACUGGUGAAGUACAAAAUGAUAUAGACAGACCUAAUGAACAAGUCAGUGAGGAGAUUUUGAAAGUAGAGCAGGAAUAUAACAAACUCCAUCAACCAUUCUUUCAGAAGAGGUCAGAAUUGAUGACCAAAAUCCCAAGUAUUUGGGUAAAAACAUUUGUCAACUGUCCAAAAGAAUCUGAAAUUGUCGCACCUUCAGACCCUAUAAAUAACAGAAAUACAGAUCCUGCUUUGUGGAAUAAUUUUUCUUCUAAUGAUGUAAACUAUUGGAUCGAAAGAGGGCCAAGUGAUUGUCAGCAUCACAGUGGACCAUUUGAAAAUUCAUGUCGAAAAUUUCUUGAUGGUAAACAAACAAGGUUCUGUAGCCAGAAUAUAUUUCUAGGGUGCAAAGCUAAUGGUGAAAAUUAUAAGAGGGAGUGGCUACUGUAUUCUCCCUCAGUCGGUUCUGUAUUUUGUUUUGUUUGCAAAUUAUUCAGUCCUAAAUCUAAUUCUCGGUUUGCUACAAUUGGAUUUAGCGAUUGGCGCAACUUGAGUAUGAUUGAUAAACACGAAAAUAGUUCAAUUCACAGAGAUUGUAUGUUGGCAUACUUAAACCGAAGACGUGGUUUUGGCUUAACUCAUGAACUGGAAACACAAAUUAAUGAAGAACGUCGGCAUUGGAAAGCUAUUUUGCAACGUGUUGUUGCUGUCAUUAUAACAAUCGCUGAACAAGGAUUAUCUUUUCAAGGAAAAAAUGAAGUAUUUGGGUCCCCACAAAAUGGAAAUUUUUUGGGUUUACUUGAACUUGUUGCUCAGUUUGAUCCAUUUUUAGCAGGUCACAUUGCAAAAUUCAGUAACACAGGAAAGAGCAACCCAUCAUAUAUGUCUAAAACAACAUGUGAAGAAUUGAUAAAUCUAAUAAGUAAUAAAGUUCGAUUCACUAUUUUCAAUGAAAUAAGUCUAGCUCGAUAUUUCAGUUUGUCUGUAGAUUCCACUCCUGAUCUUUCCCAUACAGAUCAGCUAAGCAUUGUUUUAAGAUAUGUAUCUCCAACAGAUGGGAAACCUGUCGAGCGAUUUAUCACAUUUGCUACCUUAAAAGGUCAUACUGGUGAAGAAAUUGCAGAGCAGGUACUUCACUAUUUGUGUGAAGUUUGCAAAAUUGAUUUUUCUAAGUGCAGAGGCCAGUCCUAUGACAGUGCUGCCAAUAUGUCAGGGUGUUAUAAAGGCAUGCAACAGAAAAUUUUAGAACGUAAUGAAUAUGCUAUUUUCGUACCAUGUGCUGCGCAUUCACUUAAUCUUGUAGGACGAAGCGCAGUAGACUGUUGUCCAGAAGCAGUUGAUUUUUUUUCUACUGUUCAGUUACUCUGCACAUUUUUUGCUGCCUCUACUCACCGUUGGGCAGUUCUUAAAACACAUUUAGGCAGUGAUCGAGUAUUAAAAUGCCUCUCUAAUACACGUUGGGAAGCGCAUGCUGUAGCAAUGAGUGCAAUCCUGGAAUCAUACACUCAGAUUCUAGAUGCCUUAGAAAACAUUGCUGAAGACCAGACACAAAAAGGAGAUACCAAAAGAGAAGCUGAGAGCAUCGCCAACAAAAUGCAAACACUGGAGUAUGUGUUUAUGUUGGUUAUGUGGAAUAAUAUAUUGCAGCAUUUUCACUGGGCAAGUCAAACUCUCCAAGAUUCAGAAGUAAAUUUAAAGACAUGCACAGAUCUCUAUCAGUCAUUAACAGGGUAUUUACAUAAUUUAAGAGACUAUUUUGAAAAUUUUGAAAACACAGCAAAGCAGAUACUGCCAAAUACUGAUUAUCAAGCAGUUCAUCAUGGCAGAACCAUUAGAAAGAAACAAGUAAAUGAGGGAAGUGCUCCAGAAGUAUUGAGUGCCAGAGAUCAAUUUCGCGUAACCACAUACUACGCCAUUAUUGACACACUUGAAUCUUGCAUGAAAAGAAGGGCAGAAGUAUAUGAAGUUCUCUCAAAUAGAUUUUCUUUCUUAAACAACAUAGAUGUACCCGAUGAAGAAUGCAUGGAGGCGUCCAAGAAAUUAGUGCAGGCUUACCCCGAUGACUUAAAUACAAACCUCCACGGAGAGGUGCGACAGUUUCAUUCUUACGUUAGAACUAAGUUUACAGAUUCAGGAAAGACACAUUUUACUCAUGAAGACAUGUAUGAGUUCAUAAUAGAAGAUAAAAUACAAUGUGUAUUUCCCAAUGUUGAAAUUGCUUUACGCAUGUUCCUAACUUUAAUGAUCACAAACUGCACAACAGAACGCUCAUUUUCGUCCCUAAAGAGACUCAAAAACCCUCAGCAUACAACAGUGACUCAAGUAAGACAUGAUUCAUUAGCCAUACUAUGUAUGGAAGUAGAUAUUGUUCGACAGCUUGAUUGUGAUGAAAUCAUUGAAGAAUUUGUAAGAGCAAAGAAUAGAAAGAAAUGUUUUUACUUGUAACACAUUAGAGGUGAAAGAUCUGUCUAAAAAUAAAGCAAUUUGUUGUAAUACUUGUUUUCUGAUCAUUAAAUUUUCAUUGAUGAUUUCAUUUGUGUAUAAUUUCAUUUAUUGGAAAACACAUCGGAAUUGAAGUAUGAGCCAUUCAGAGCAAAAUUGGUGAAAGUCAGUUUUUUGUAGUGAGAGAUCAACAGAAUUUUACAUUGUUGAAAAAACUAAGUUCACUGACACAUUUUCUUUGUUGCAGAAUGUGUGGAAUAUUCUUUGUUGAAGAUGUGGCAUAUAGUAAAAAUCUUUUGUGCCCCACGUCCACUAAAAAUUUUACGACCCAGUUCAUCUCAUUCUGCUGAAAUGAUAUACGCCACUUUUGCGUUCAGUCACUGAUAUUACAGUUUAAUUUUAAAAGAAGCCACAUCAUGGACACACACGUAUGUGCACACACACAUAUACACGUGUAUGUCUAACUCAUAUCCUGUUUGAAUGCAUCAGUAAGCAGAGAGGCAGCACAGAUUAUCAGUGCUUAAGGCCGCUGGUUUUCACCUCACUCCCCACUUCCUGACCUGUUUCCAGUGGACUCCAUCCCUGUCCCCUGUGUGGUGUAUGCUUUCCAGCAUCCCCCCUGCUGGGCUGCUCUGUUCUUAUUCUUUUCCUGACUAAUUCUGGGAAACAUCUCAGUUGGUCCAGCCUGGUCCCUGGUGGCUUUCUGUGAGACUCUGAAAGUUAAAAACUGCCUCUCUUACCUGACAACCCAUCAGCAAAUACACAAUUGCAGCAUUCUUUGGGAACCCUUUGAGGAUCUCCCAGCCUGCUAGGCUUCCAUAGAGCCCAGGCAGAAUGUGCAGGUUGAAGGAAGAACAGCCAGUCAGGUUCCCACCUUACCAAUCACAUGCCACCCUUGUUGCUUGCUACACCACCUUUCACAUACCAACUCCAGAUGUAAUCCUUGGCCGAAAGCAUUUAACAGGAGCAUAGGGAGCAAGAACCCUGAUGGGAAAUGGCUAGCCAGAUGAUAAUUAACUUCCGCUCAGGCUGUAGGAUAAAGUCACACACCACGUAAUGUCUUUUUGGGCAAGGUCUGACUGCAUAUAGGUCCGUGGUCCCAUAAAGUUUUGUUUUAAAGGAAAAGCAGCUGUCCUUUUAUUUCUCCCAAAUGGUUUCAAAGACCCCAAAUCCUCUGAG